GACGAACGUUUGCGGCGUGCUUAACACAUGCAAGUCGAACGGAAAGGCCCUGCUUUUGUGGGGUGCUCGAGUGGCGAACGGGUGAGUAACACGUGAGUAACCUGCCCUUGACUUUGGGAUAACUUCAGGAAACUGGGGCUAAUACCGGAUAGGAGCUCCUGCUGCAUGGUGGGGGUUGGAAAGUUUCGGCGGUUGGGGAUGGACUCGCGGCUUAUCAGCUUGUUGGUGGGGUAGUGGCUUACCAAGGCUUUGACGGGUAGCCGGCCUGAGAGGGUGACCGGCCACAUUGGGACUGAGAUACGGCCCAGACUCCUACGGGAGGCAGCAGUGGGGAAUAUUGCACAAUGGGCGGAAGCCUGAUGCAGCAACGCCGCGUGCGGGAUGACGGCCUUCGGGUUGUAAACCGCUUUCGCCUGUGACGAAGCGUGAGUGACGGUAAUGGGUAAAGAAGCACCGGCUAACUACGUGCCAGCAGCCGCGGUGAUACGUAGGGUGCGAGCGUUGUCCGGAUUUAUUGGGCGUAAAGGGCUCGUAGGUGGUUGAUCGCGUCGGAAGUGUAAUCUUGGGGCUUAACCCUGAGCGUGCUUUCGAUACGGGUUGACUUGAGGAAGGUAGGGGAGAAUGGAAUUCCUGGUGGAGCGGUGGAAUGCGCAGAUAUCAGGAGGAACACCAGUGGCGAAGGCGGUUCUCUGGGCCUUUCCUGACGCUGAGGAGCGAAAGCGUGGGGAGCGAACAGGCUUAGAUACCCUGGUAGUCCACGCUGUAAACGGUGGGUACUAGGUGUGGGGUCCAUUCCACGGGUUCCGUGCCGUAGCUAACGCUUUAAGUACCCCGCCUGGGGAGUACGGCCGCAAGGCUAAAACUCAAAGGAAUUGACGGGGCCCCGCACAAGCGGCGGAGCAUGCGGAUUAAUUCGAUGCAACGCGUAGAACCUUACCUGGGUUUGACAUGGAUCGGGAGUGCUCAGAGAUGGGUGUGCCUCUUUUGGGGUCGGUUCACAGGUGGUGCAUGGCUGUCGUCAGCUCGUGUCGUGAGAUGUUGGGUUAAGUCCCGCAACGAGUGCAACCCUUGUUCACUGUUGCCAGCACGUUAUGGUGGGGACUCAGUGGAGACCGCCGGGGUCAACUCGGAGGAAGGUGGGGAUGACGUCAAGUCAUCAUGCCCCUUAUGUCCAGGGCUUCACGCAUGCUACAAUGGCUGGUACAGAGAGUGGCGAGCCUGUGAGGGUGAGCGAAUCUCGGAAAGCCGGUCUCAGUUCGGAUUGGGGUCAGCAACUCGACCUCAUGAAGUCGGAGUCGCUAGUAAUCGCAGAUCAGCAACGCUGCGGUGAAUACGUUCCCGGG
rnacentral:rRNA from 1 species